AAACCCUUAAGAGAGGUUUCUCUUGGGAUUCCCCCGUAAACCCGACAGGGCGCGAUUUCUUUCGGGAAACACAAGGGCCCUUGACCCCCUUGAAAAUCCCCGAAAACCCUUUGGGGCGGCCCCAACCCCAGGGGAUUUAGAAUCCCCCCUGGGUGUGCCCACGCCCUUUACGAUGAAUGUUAAUCUUUGGAGUGCUAACCCCACUUCAGUGAGCAGCCUUAACGCCAUUUAGACAUUCCGCCUGGGGAGUACCGGCCGGCAAAGGUUAAAACUCAAAGGAAUAGACGGGGACCCGCACAAGUGGUGGAGCAUGUGGUUUAAUUCGAAGAUACGCGAAGAACCUUACCUGGCCUUGACAUAUACCAGAAUCUGCCAGAGAUGGUGGAGUGCCUUCGGGAGCUGGUAUACAGGUGCUGCACGGCUGUCGUCAGCUCGUGUCGUGAGAUGUUGGGUUAAGUCCCGCAACGAGCGCAACCCUCGUGACUAGUUACUAACAGCAUAGGCUGAGGACUCUAGUCAGACUGCCUUCGUAAGGAGGAGGAAGGUGAGGACGACGUCAAGUCAUCAUGGCCCUUACGGCCAGGGCGACACACGUGCUACAAUGGGAAGGACAAAGAGAAGCAAAACUGUGAGGUGGAGCAAAUCUAUAAACCUUCUCUCAGUUCGGAUUGCAGUCUGCAACUCGACUGCAUGAAGCUGGAAUCACUAGUAAUCGUGAAUCAGCCAUGUCACGGUGAAUACGUUCCCGGGUCUUGUACUCACCGCCCGUCACACCAUGGGAGUUGAUUUCACCCGAAGCGGGGAUGCUAAAUAGGCUACCCGCCACGGUGGAAUUACCCCACUGGAGGUGAAGUCGUAACAAGGUAACCGUAGGAGAACCUGCGGCUG
rnacentral:rRNA from 1 species